rnacentral:misc_RNA from 1 species
AACAGCAUCUACAAGACCAUAUUCCACCGCCUCCCAGGGAUUCAUGAAAUUGUCACGAUCUGUAUCUAUCUCAAUCUGCUUCUCAGGCUUCCCUGAAAUUCUUGAUAGUAUUUUGUUCAUCUUCACCUUAUGAUACAUCAUCUCUCUGAUCAUUAAUCCCAUAUCUGUGGUUUUGCCUCCAGCAGUUCCUAGUGGUUGAUGGAUCAUGACUCUGGCAUUGGGCAUGCAAAAUCUCUUUCCUUUCGUUCCAGAAGCAAGUAGAAAUGCACCCAUAGAUGCCGCAAGGCCCAGGCAAACAGUAGAAACAUCAGCCUUGCAUAAUUUCAUGGCAUCAUAUAUUCCCA